rnacentral:lncRNA from 1 species
CAUUUGUUUGGGCCAUACGAUUUUUGUGGGCUGGGUUCAAGCUCCUUUCAAGUCCAGUUGAAAGGAAGGAAACAGUUUCCCUCCAUAAUGCCCAGGUUGCAUCUAAAAAUUUUCUCUAAUAUCUACUUGUUUAAUGAUCAAAUCUUUACCUGAAUCAUAGCAGAACCAAGGAUCAAAUUCCAAAUUAUCUCAUAUAAACCUUCGUGGAGGUCUGGAUAUGCAGACCCUCUACUUCACAUGCACGUCAGACGCUGC